UACGUAGGGGGCAAGCGUUGUCCGGAUUUAUUGGGCGUAAAGAGCGUGUAGGCGGCCAGACAGGUCAGCUGUGAAAACUCGAGGCUCAACCUCGAGACGUCGGUUGAAACCGUCUGGCUAGAGUCCGGAAGAGGAGAGUGGAAUUCCCGGUGUAGCGGUGAAAUGCGCAGAUAUCGGGAGGAACACCUGUGGCGAAAGCGGCGCACUGGACCAUAACUGACGCUGAGGCGCGAAAGCUAGGGGAGCAAACAGG
rnacentral:rRNA from 1 species